CCCCGGCCGUGCCCGGCGGGUCGCGGCCAAGGGACCACGGGGACGGUGCGGGCUGCGGCAGGUCCCUUCUAGCACAGGCAGUCAAGGUGGAAUUUUUUAGCCAAGCCUUUGCACUGUGCCUGAAUAAGCUAGGGCUUAUUCAGAAGUGUGUUGCUUGUGUGCAUGGAGGAUACUGCUGUCCCCUUCUUAUCCAGGUGAUCUCAGUAUGAAGAACAUGAAGUUGAUUUCAUAUUCAGCUACAAACUGUUCUGUUGGGACUCUGCAGUUAUCUGAAAGAACAGGACAGCUGCAGGUGCAGGGACUGUCACAGAGUGGGCUGUGGGGAAUGCUGCAGGGGGGAAUCAGGUAUAUCGUAAAAGCAGGAAAGCUAUCCAUUUUUGGCAGUGAAUUCCUACAGGCUUUGGGGAAUAGCAUUAAUAACUUAAGUAAUACAAAAGGAAGAUGGAAAUCAUGUUUGUGGAUCCUUUCGCAAGUAUAGUAAUUUAUUUCUUUUAAGAGCUGCAGGAGAAACAGGUAGGUACAACCAUCCUGUUAUUUUUAUUUUUUUAACUACUUCACCAGAUGUUAAUAUGACUUUUCUCUUCUCCUUUUGUGCUGUUCUGUGCUCAUCUCAGAUUUUUAAGGGCAUGCAGGAGCCAAAAGCUGUAAAAGAGGCAAACACUUUCAGGUGGAAUUCUAGUUUGCCUAUGUGAUAUUGAAGAAAUUCAGUGAGUAGGUUAGUGGAAGAUGUGGGUGGGACCAUCUGAAGAUACUAAUGUCCACUGGAGUGACUGCAAAGUAAUGACUGAGACGCUUUUACCAUUUGUACUUGAAUGAAGGGAGACUUGUGAUCAAACUUGGAUUCCUUCACGAUUGUCAUUGGAAAAGAGAAGAGCUCCAGAAAAACAAGGUGGUCUUCAGAGAGUCUCAGAUUUCACUUAGCCUUAAUCUGAGUUGAGAAAGGAUUUUACUGUGGUGAUUGUAGAAUUUCGUUUUUCACUGUGUGAUUUUUCUAGUAAAUAUCAGAAUGUUUUAAUUCUUGUAAGCUUUUUUCUUUCAUUUUUUCCAAUGCUUCUUCAUUGUCCUGAAAUAAGGAAGCUUAUAUAUAUAUAAAGCCACAGUCUUUUUAAAACUUUGUGUGCAUGCGUGUUCUUAAGAUGUUCAUAAGCUCUUGUUGUUUCUGCUUCGAUGGACAAUGAAUGUACUGUGUUUGUGUUCUCUUACAACAUUUGAAUGUAAAUCCCAAGUAAAAACAUCUUCCUGACUCUUAAAUUACAUGUAUUUUGAUCUAAGUUGCAUUUCCACAUAAAGCUUCUGUGUUAAAAA